rfam:Chitinophaga pinensis DSM 2588, complete genome.
AAGGGCGUACCCGAAAACCCUAAGAACAGAGUAGGGA